rnacentral:rRNA from 1 species
UAAGGAAUAUUGGUCAAUGGACGCAAGUCUGAACCAGCCAUGCCGCGUGAAGGAUGAAGGUCCUCUGGAUUGUAAACUUCUUUUAUCUGGGACGAAAACGGGAUUUUUAUCUCAAUUGACGGUACCAGAGGAAUAAGCACCGGCUAACUCCGUGCCAGCAGCCGCGGUAAUACGGAGGGUACGAGCGUUAUCCGGAUUUACUGGGUUUAAAGGGUGCGUAGGUGGGCUUAUAAGUCAGUGGUGAAAUCUCCGAGCUUAACUUGGAAACUGCCGUUGAUACUAUAGGUCUUGAAUUAUCUGGAGGUAAGCGGAAUAUGUCAUGUAGCGGUGAAAUGCUUAGAUAUGACAUAGAACACCAAUUACGAAGGCAGCUUACUACAUAUAAAUUGACGCUGAGGCACGAAAGCGUGGGGAUCAAACA